rfam:Dipodomys ordii contig_55954, whole genome shotgun sequence.
GGGAAGUUGGCUCAGUGGUAGAGUGCUUGCCUUGCAUGUAUGAGAACCUGGGUUCAAUUCCUCAGAACCA